AAAUUGAAGAGUUUGAUCAUGGCUCAGAUUGAACGCUGGCGGCAGGCCUAACACAUGCAAGUCGAACGGUAACAGGAAGCAGCUUGCUGCUUCGCUGACGAGUGGCGGACGGGUGAGUAAUGUCUGGGAAACUGCCUGAUGGAGGGGGAUAACUACUGGAAACGGUAGCUAAUACCGUAUAAUGUCGCAAGACCAAAGAGGGGGACCUUCGGGCCUCUUGCCAUCGGAUGUGCCCAGAUGGGAUUAGCUUGUUGGUGGGGUAACGGCUCACC
rnacentral:rRNA from 1 species